AGAGUUUGAUCAUGGCUCAGAUUGAACGCUGGCGGAAUGCUUACACAUGCAAGUCGAACGGCAGCACGGGAGCUUGCUCCUGGUGGCGAGUGGCGGACGGGUGAGUAAUAUAUCGGAACGUAUCCAAUAAUGGGGGAUAACUAUCCGAAAGGAUAGCUAAUACCGCAUACGCCCUGAGGGGGAAAGCUAGGGAUCUUCGGACCUGGCGUUAAUGGAGCGGCCGAUAGCUGAUUAGCUAGUUGGUGAGGUAAAGGCUCACCAAGGCGACGAUCAGUAGCUGGUCUGAGAGGACGACCAGCCACACUGGAACUGAGACACGGUCCAGACUCCUACGGGAGGCAGCAGUGGGGAAUUUUGGACAAUGGGGGCAACCCUGAUCCAGCCAUUCCGCGUGAGUGAAGAAGGCCUUCGGGUUGUAAAGCUCUUUCGCAAGGGAAGAAAACUUAGUCUCUAACAUAGACUGAGGUUGACGGUACCUUGAUAAGAAGCACCGGCUAACUACGUGCCAGCAGCCGCGGUAAUACGUAGGGUGCGAGCGUUAAUCGGAAUUACUGGGCGUAAAGCGUGCGCAGGCGGCCUUAAAAGUCAGAUGUGAAAUCCCCGAGCUCAACUUGGGAACUGCGUUUGAAACUCUAAGGCUAGUAUAUGUCAGAGGGGGGUAGAAUUCCACGUGUAGCAGUGAAAUGCGUAGAGAUGUGGAGGAAUACCAAUGGCGAAGGCAGCCCCCUGGGAUAAUAUUGACGCUCAUGCACGAAAGCGUGGGGAGCAAACAGGAUUAGAUACCCUGGUAGUCC
rnacentral:rRNA from 1 species